UAAUACGGAGGGUGCAAGCGUUAUCCGGAUUUAUUGGGUUUAAAGGGUCCGCAGGCGGGAUUCUAAGUCAGUGGUGAAAGCCUACAGCUCAACUGUAGAACUGCCAUUGAUACUGGAAUCCUUGAGUGUGGUUGAAGUAGACGGAAUAUGUCAUGUAGCGGUGAAAUGCAUAGAUAUGACAUAGAACACCAAUUGCGUAGGCAGUUUACUAAACCAUUACUGACGCUCAUGGACGAAAGUGUGGGGAGCGAACAGGAUUAGAUACCCUGGUAGUCCACACCGUAAACUAUGAUCACUAGAUGUUGGCGAUAUACAGUCAGUGUCUUAGAGAAAUCGUUAAGUGAUCCACCUGGGGAGUACGUUCGCAAGAAUG
rnacentral:rRNA from 1 species